rnacentral:rRNA from 1 species
UACGUAGGGGGCAAGCGUUGUCCGGAAUCAUUGGGCGUAAAGCGCGUGUAGGCGGUUCAGUAAGUCCGCUCUGAAAGCCCGGGGCUCAACCCCGGGAGGCGGGUGGAUACUGCUGAGCUUGAGUCCGGAAGAGGCGAGUGGAAUUCCCGGUGUAGCGGUGAAAUGCGCAGAUAUCGGGAGGAACACCAAUGGCGAAGGCAGCUCGCUGGGACGUGACUGACGCUGAGACGCGAAAGCGUGGGGAGCAAACAGG